AACUACGUAGAGACUAUUCUUAUAGAACACUGUAGAAAAAACACCUUGAGUACCUUGGACAGUGGACCUUGAUUUGUUAAAAAAAAAAAAAACCAACUUUUAUAACUUUGACAAUUGAAUAUUUCUCUCUCUUUUUCUUCGUGUAUUUUUACAUGAAUUGACUUAUUUACAUUGGAGAAUGAAGAUGUUGCGGGCUACAUACUAUGCUUUCCGUUCAUUAACUCACAAUCAACUCUUUUCAUUAUGCAUUGGAGUUGGAAUUUCAUCUUUUGGAACAAUCCAAUUAUUAAACAGUCCACCAAAACGAAAUACAUAAAACUAAUGUAUUUCGAAAAAAAUAUUUAAAUGGCGAAACAUCAACAAAAAUAAAAAACCAGAAAAUAAUAAUUAAAAAUAUUUUAAUUUUAUUUAUAUGUACGUCUUAAUAUUUUGGAUAUAUAAAUUUUCAAUGUUUAAAUAAUGCUUGCAUGUAUAUUUAAAACUUAAUUCUCCAUGUAUGUCAUUAUGUACACUUGUAGUUUUCCACCAUUUUAAAAUGAUCUUUCGUGAUAUAAUUUUCUUUUUUGUUGUUGGAUGUAAUCCAUUAAAGAAAAUAUGUUUUUAAAUUUAUUUUUUAUAUUUUAUUUAUUAUUUUGAAUGGAUUACUACUACUAUUAUUACGACUGUAUAUUGUAUGAAACAGACAGAAUGUACGACGGCGAAUUUGAAACUAUCAUCUGAAAACAUGAUUAUAUCGAUAAAAAAAAAUUAUUUAAUAAUAUAUUAUGUUUUCUUUUUGUUCGUUUAAAAAUAAGAAAAAAAAAUGUAUAUAAAUAAUUAUGUGGAAAAUAAAAGGAUAAACUCGAAAACACUUUUUGUAUGAAAAUUUAAAUUGUGUAAACAAUAUUUUU